AGGUCAAGUGAAGUAAAAGAAAGAUGGCGUCAUACACUUGUUAUUGUUUUUAAUUAUUAUUACAAGGUUGUAUUUUGUUUGCUCUACACAUAUUUCUUACUAAAUUAUGUUUGCAAAUAAUAAAAGUGUGGUAAAAGAUGAAGAUUAAGUUAACAAACAUUAAAUGUAGGUAAUAAACAUGUUAUAUGAAAAUGCUUCCUUUAGAAACCUUGGACCAAUACAUGACUCUUGUAGUAGCUCUAGGAGGUGUUUAUUUAAUGUUUAUGUUUUUAGUUCUGCUAUGUUUUCUGCGUAAAUUCAACACAGAACCUGUUGAGAAUUUUAUCGGUCAAAGACCUAUGGAACUCAGGACAAUCUCGAACCCUUACCGGUAUUCCAAUGUGAACCAACAAUCUGUACGUAGCCCUUCCUAUGCAACUAGAUCUAAUCGGAGUUUUUCUACCAGGAACAGUACAAAAAUACCAACUAAAAAAAUUACCUACGGUAGAAUUGACUUGAGUCAGAUGGAAAGACUUGCUACUCUGUGAUUAAAUACUGUGUAUAGUGUAAAUAUUGUGCAUAUAUGUAGAUAAACAGACAAAAUGUUGAAGAGAAGAAUACCUCAAAUUAAAGGCAUUCAUCUAAAAUCCAUAUCAGAGAAGACUACCAAAAUAAGAAGUUUCAACCAGCUGUUUAUUCUAGAGCUCAGGUAUACAUUCGAAUACAGUUGCUGGUAUCACCUGAAGAAUAAAUCUGGAAUCCGAGACAUCAGUGACAGAGAAAAUGACCGGUACAGAGAGAAUAUAAUUUUUAUAUGUUCUUAAGGGACUAUUCAUACAGUGAGAAUAUAAUUUCCAUAUGUUCUUAUGGGACUAUUCAUACAGUGAGAAUAUAAUUUCCAUAUGUUCUUAUGGGACUAUUCAUACAGUGAGAAUAUAAUUUCCAUAUGUUCUUAUGGGACUAUUCAUACAGUGAUAAUAUAAUUUCCAUAUGUUCUUAUGGGACUAUUCAUACAGUGAGAAUAUAAUUUCCAUAUGUUCUUAUGGGACUAUUCAUACAGUGAGAAUAUAAUUUCCAUAUGUUCUUAUGGGACUAUUCAUAUCCACCCACUCGACUGCCAUUAGGUAAUGAUUAAAUAAUUCAUAUUAUGGCACCUUGUAAAUCAUCAAUAGGUAAUUAUUUAUAUUUAUCCUGACUAAAGUACAAAUUGAAUAUACUGAUUUUGUCUCUUGUAAUAAAAUAUAACUAUAAAUGUA